rnacentral:rRNA from 1 species
UACGUAGGGUGCGAGCGUUGUCCGGAAUUACUGGGCGUAAAGAGCUCGUAGGCGGUUUGUCGCGUCGGCCGUGAAAUCUCCACGCUUAACGUGGAGCGUGCGGUCGAUACGGGCAUCACUGGAGUUCGGCAGGGGAGACUGGAAUUCCUGGUGUAGCGGUGAAAUGCGCAGAUAUCAGGAGGAACACCGGUGGCGAAGGCGGGGUCUCUGGGCCGAUACUGACGCUGGAGGAGCGAAAGCGUGGGGAGCGAACAGG